rnacentral:lncRNA from 1 species
CUCAACCAUAUUCCAUCCAUCAUUAGCAUUCCACAUUUAAAUGGUGCAGCUUCACAAUACAACACAAAGUUCAAGAUUGUCAAAAAAUCUGGGUGAGGGGAUGGUGAAUUAUACUGAUCUUAAAGGACAAUGCAAUGAUAGUUCUACUGACAACAAAGUUUAUUUUUUUCUACAGUUAAAUUGUAUUCUUGCGAAACAGUGAGAGAUAUUAUCUUUAUCAUUAAACUACCAAUGUAAGAUAUAAUUAACACUUAACUCAUACUAGGCUGAGAUUUGAUGGCAUGCUUCAUAGAUCGUUUUAGCAAAGACUUUAGAACAAAAGGGAAUUAAAUGGCUAUAACUUCUCUAUAAUACGUUCUGUACAUGUUAAUUCGUGCAGUAGUUACAGCGUUUCUACAAGUUGAAUGGAGAAAAAUACUAUACAAAAAAUAAAGUUAAUAAAGAAAUAAUUUUCUAUGGUAUUUUCUUUACCAAUCUCAUUAAUAUAUAUAUGUGAUUGACAUGAUAAAUUACCCAUCACUGUCACCAGGUAGUUGCCGAUAGAUUAAACUAUAGCCAAACUAUCACAGAGGAGAGGACCAAUGCAGGAGGCCAUGGAAAAUUUUCUAGAUGUGAUGCUGACAGUCUCCUCCUUCAUUUGAUAGCUAGCCUCCUAAGUUACAUGGGCCAAAUAUUUCAAAUGAAUACCAUACACGGCCACUUCAAACAAGGAUGAUACGGCAUGACGAGUCCAUCUCCUUGCUUAUCUGGGGAACAAACAACUUAGCUGAAGAGUGCCAUCAUACGAUGUGCAAGACAUUAAUUAGGCAUGCCACCAACAGAUGAAAGAUCAUACAAAGAGCCUGAACCAAACUAAUCUGAAACAUAGGAUAAACCCUGUUUAACUCUGGAAACCAUUUCCAAGAAACCAUUGGAGCAUAAUAUCACCGAUGCUGCCGAGUACUAGACGCAGACCUUUUAGUCUUAUUCUUCCAGAAUUCAUCCUUCUUAGUCUUCUUCUUUUCUUUCAACAUUCCUCUGCUACUGUUAAUUAUACCCAAUAGAGCACUCUUGUCUUUCCUAGUCUUUAAAGCAGUUUUAACAUCCAAAAUUGCCCUCAGCUUCUGAUAGGUUCUUGCAUCGGGCACUUGUUUGCUUUUCACCAUCUGCUUGUAUAAGAGAAUAUAAGCAACUCCGAAGAGUUGAAAAACUGGUAUCUUCUAGUCCUAGGCGUCGCUCCCGUUCUGGUGAAAUAAUUUAUAAGAAAGAUAAAAAUAAUACAUAUUUAGAUAGUGCAUUAAGAAUCAGAAGUUGAGCAGAUCAUGUCAUGUUAUUCCAUAAUAAUAGUGUAUAAUAUCUCAGAAGAAAAAACAACUUUCCAAACUACAAGGAUCAAAUAUCCGUAGAAUGUUUCAAUCGUGUUUAAUGCUCUUUAACGACAUAUAAGAUAUACCACUAAUGACAAGAUCAAAUCAAGACUCUUCAAUUUUCAAUAUAUAUAGGCAUAUAGCUCAUGUCUAGUCAAACCAAGUUUUUAUACAAUGAAGCACAUACAUGUAUUUCAACUUUCAUUCCACAACUCCAUUAGCUAUCGAGUGCAGACCAGCUACAUGAUAUCAUCAGCUGAUGUCAAUAUUAUUUAGUUAUAAAGCUGAGCUUCAGUAAUGAUGGUACCUAAAUAUGUGUGCUUGUUAUAUAGUUUCGCGAAUAUUCAAAGUAACCCCCCAUUUCUAAUCUUGAUCCAGUAUUUUCACACACCAUUACGUCCUAACGUAACUGGGCUCAUACAGCAUCACUACUAAGAGUCCUUUGGAAUGAAAAAGGGUGACAGUAUAUUGAAACAUAAGACCUCCAAUUACCUGAGGAUGUUGUUUUAAUAGGUUUGGCAUGAACGCUUUCUUCAAUAAAGUUAGCUGGUCACCUAAUCCAGGCACGAUCAAAAGAGAAACUGCAUAAGCCACAGGAACGUCUUUCAAAGCAUAGCAUAACACCUCGAUCUUGAAACUGACAACAAGAAGUUUUGCAGGUUCUGAAGCUGACAAGGGUAAGAAAGGGAUAAGAAUAAUUAUUAGAAUAAAAACAUGAUGAGAAAAUUUUUAGACACCAAUAUUCUAUAACUUAUUGAACUUAAGAUGAAGUUUCCCCACAAUUAAUUAUACCUGGAAAGUAAUGAGCAAUAGGUGCAGAAGAAUUUUCAGAAUUCCUAGAAUGAUUGAAGAAGACAUUUACUUUGAUUGUAUCUGCACUCUAACCAAGAAAACUUUUACAAUGAAUGGAUAAUGUAAGCUGACCAAUGCCAAUGACCACAAACUUAAUCACGAAAAACAUUGUAAAUUUGUUUAUUGAUCAAAAAGAAAAAUAUACUGUAGAAAUGGCACAAGUUAAAUAUCAGAACUUAUAAGUGUCAUAUUAUUUCAGGAAAAUCUGUAUACCUCCCUAGCAGUAAAUGAAAGAAGAGUUUUGUUUUCUGAACAAAAGUCUGAACAGAACAGUGUCUUCCCACCAGAUUCUUCAACAGUGUUUUUCGAAAGCUUUAUGUCUGAGAGAUCUUUCCGGAAAUCCAAUUCCAGACCUCGGAGAAUGGUAGUCUGAGAUACUCCGUCAAAGGCUGCUUGGGAUCUUUCAAUUGUAAAAACAACAUUUGGAUUCUGUAACUUGGCGAUAGCAGCGUCAACUGCAGAAGAAAAUACACCUACGGAAUCUGCAACAUACCACAAUUUUGGCUCAGUCACAUCAUGCAUGGCAUAUUGACCUUUUACCAAAAGAUGAGGUGGAUCUCUAAAAAAGGAACUGGUUUUCUCUGUUCACAAUAUAUCAAGAAUCUCAUAAUUAUAAAAUGAAUCAUUUCCUUCCUUUUCAAUAAACUUGGGAAGAGAGGGGGGGGGGGGGGUCUAUGGAUAACAAAAAGCAACAUUGCAUGUUUUAAGGAACUUCGCUUCAUGCAUCCAAUUUAAGGGACAACACAAAAGUAACAUACAUUGCUUACUAUGACAAAUCUAAUAUUCUACAUCAAGUCAUCAAGUAGCAACUAGAAAAGUUUGGGCACAUUUCAUUAUGUUUACAGUUCAUUACAUGAAGCUUCUCUUCAUGAACAGUUUAUUUUGGUUUAGGGUUAACUCACAUUAUACAGCAUACACAAUUGUGAACUUUGACAAUGCAUUUACAAAAUCAUUCUCGUAAGUCGUAAGACCAUCCUAUAAAAAUUAAAAUGUUGUGCAAUAAUAUAGAUUAAAGAAGUUGUACCUGAUGGUUUGUUCACAGGAUAAUAGAUAGGCAAUUUCAUCUCCAAUUCACACCUAAGUAAGCAACCUUUCUCCCAUACAAACUUUUCCGGAGAAUCUUCAUAAACAACAUUACUAACAGCUUCAACUUUGCUUGAACUCCCAUUUGAACAAACAAAAUAACGAAUCUCACCACUACUCAAAUCAGCAGCAGCACCAACUAAAUCCAAUCUCUCAUCACCACGACAAAGCAAUUUCCUAAUUCUACGAGUCGACUCAAUCGCCUUUCUAGCAUGUUCUUCCCAAUUCUGAUUCUGAUUCUCAACAACAACAACAACAACCAAUGCUCCAAUAACAUUAAAUCCUCUCAAUAACAAUGUUCUUAAAUCAUCUGUUACAUUAAAAGUUAAACCAAUCAAGAUUAAAAUUAUACAUAUCAAAAUUUUCACUACUGUCAAAUGCGACCUCAUAGAUUUUGAUUUAAGAGACUAGAUUGGUUUAUCACGGGACUGGUCUUAUAAGGGCUUCCUAAAACAACGAACACAUCAACCCUCUAUGGAUUCUCUUCCCAAGGAUAAUGGAAGCCUUCACAACAGAAAUCCACAAUAUUUGAAAGAAGGGCAACUAUUAAACUGGAGCAGGAUCAACCAAUAGAAAGGCUUAGUUUUAUCCAUAUCUAUAAACAAAGAAUUUAAUUUAUCCACUUUUUCUCAGUUGUGUGCAAGAGUAUCUAAGAGUGCCAAUCAUAAAUUUGAAGAAAAAUAAAAUGUAAAUAAGCGGGUAAGAGAGGAAGCAUUAAUUGAAUGAAUAAUAGAAUUGUAUCUCAACCAUAUUCCAUCCAUCAUUAGCAUUCCACAUUUAAAUGGUGCCUGUUCAUGGAGCUUCACAAUACAACAAAGUUCAAGACUGUCAAAAAAAUCUGGGUGAGGGGAUGGUGAAUUAUACUGAUCUUAAAGGACAAUGCAAUGAUAGUUCUACUGACAACAAAGUUUAUUUUAUUCUACAGUUAAAUUGUAUUCUUGCGAAACAGUGAGAGAUAUUAUCUUUAUCAUUAAACUACCAAUGUAAGAUAUAGUUAACACAUACAAAAAAUAGAGGUUUUGUGGAUGAUGAGAAGUAGAAAAAUUGAACAGAAACACAAUAAAACAAUAUUUUUUGGUAAAAUAGAAAUAACGAGAUUCGUGGUUAAGGGUUGCUUGUGUUGGUGGCUGUGAUGCUUGAUUUCUUUGAACAAACUUAAUACUUGAUUUUUCUGUUCAAUAAAUCUGUUGAACGAAAAGAAAGAGAGCUUACCUGAUUAAGCAUUUAAUUGAGUUGAUUGAUCGGGUAGAGAGUUCGAAUUAAGGUUUGGAAGGGAUGCAACAAAAAAUUAAUCUUGAUCGUUAUACAGGCUUUAACCUCAUUGGUAAAGCCUGUAUUAAGUUUAAACUUGAUUUUUAAAUGAAACAUUGUACCAUAGAUAGAAGCCAAACAAUGAAAUAUCUAUGUUUAGUGUCUGAAGAGAUGGUAUGCAUUUAAACACGCCCUUAGGCUGAGAUUUGAUGGCAUGCUUCAUAGAUCGUUUUAGAAAAGACUUUAGAACAAAAAGGGAAUUAAAUGGCUAUAACUUCUCUAUAAUACGUUCUGUACAUGUUAAUUCGUGCAGUAUAGACACUACAGCGUUUCUACAAGUUGAAUGGAGAAAAAAACCAUACAAAAAAUAGAGUUAAUAAA